UACGUAGGCAGCGAGCGUUGUUUCGGAAUUACUGGGCGAAAGAGUGUGUAGGCGGUGCUCUAAGUUCGGUGUGAAAUCUCCUGGCUCAACUGGGAGGGUGCGCCGGAAACUGGAAGUGCUUGAGCGUGGGAGAGGAAAGCGGAAUUCCUGGUGUAGCGGUGAAAUGCGUAGAUAUCAGGAGGAACACCUGUGGUGUAGAC
rnacentral:rRNA from 1 species